rnacentral:rRNA from 1 species
GACGAACGCUGGCGGCGUGCCUAAUACAUGCAAGUAGGACGCAGUUGCGAACGGGUUAGUAACGCGUAUGUAACUACCUAUUAGAGGCGGAUAACUAUUGUAAACGAUAGCUAAUACCGCAUACUAGUAGAUGUACCUUCGUUGUAUUGGCUAGUAGGUAGGGUAAUGGCCUACCUAGGCAAUGGUACAUAGCCGGCCUGGGAGGGUGGUCGGCCACCACGGGACUGAGGAACGGGCCCAGCUCCUUCGGGAGGGAGCCGUAGGGGAUCUUCGGCAAAGGGGGGAAACCUGACCGAGCAAAGCCGCGUGAGAGAAGAAGGUUUUCGGAUCGUAAAGCUAUGUUCUUAAGGAAGCGGUACUUACACAGAAAGGGCCGGCUAACUACGUGCCAGCAGCCGCGGUAAUUC